rnacentral:misc_RNA from 1 species
AAAAAAGUAUAGUAAAAAAGCGGUUUUGUGAAGGGUGCAUGUAGCAGUCCUUUGUGCAAGAUCGGGUCUUAUGCAAUGAAAAUCUGCGAACCGUGUCAGGUCGGGAACGAAGCAGCACUAAGCAGAACCUUUCAUGUGUUGUAAGGGUGCCUGGUCCUGCCGGAGUCAACGUGCAUGUAUCCCUCACAGAACCGCCUUUUUU